rnacentral:rRNA from 1 species
UGGGGAAUAUUGGACAAUGGGGGGAACCCUGAUCCAGCCAUGCCGCGUGUGUGAAGAAGGCCUUAUGGUUGUAAAGCACUUUAAGCGAGGAGGAGGGUACUGGUAUUAAUACUACCAGGUACUGGACGUUACUCGCAGAAUAAGCACCGGCUGACUCUGUGCCAGCAGCCGCGGUAAUACAGAGGGUGCGAGCGUUAAUCGGAUUUACUGGGCGUAAAGCGUGCGUAGGCGGCUAAUUGAGUCGGAUGUGAAAUCCCCGAGCUUAACUUGGGAAGUGCAUUCGAUACUGGUUAGCUAGAGUGUGGGAGAGGAUGGUAGAAUUCCAGGUGUAGCGGUGAAAUGCGUAGAGAUCUGGAGGAAUACCGAUGGCGAAGGCAGCCAUCUGGCCUAACACUGACGCUGAGGUACGAAAGCAUGGGGAGCAAACAGG